rnacentral:rRNA from 1 species
CCUACGGGAGGCAGCAGUGGGGAAUUUUGCGCAAUGCUCGUAAGAGUGACGCAGCGACGCCGCGUGAAUGACGAAGGCCUUCGGGUCGUAAAGUUCUUUCGACAGGGAAGAAAAUGCCUAUAAGUAACUGUGUAUGUAUUGCCGGUACCUGUAUAAGCAGCCCCGGCUAACUCCGUGCCAGCAGCCGCGGUAAUACGGAGGGGGCGAGCGUUGUUCGGAGGGACUGGGCGUAAAGAGCACGUAGGCGGUGUUGUAAGUCAUUAGUCAAAGACUAGAGCUCAACUUUAGUAAGGCUAGUGAUACUAUAAUACUAGAGUAUCAGAGAGGAUUGCAGAAUUCCUGGUGUAGCGGUGAAAUGCGUAGAUAUCAGGAGGAAUACCGUUAGCGAAGGCGGCAAUCUGGCUGGAAACUGACGCUGAGGUGCGAAAGCGUGGGUAGCAAACAGGAUUAGAUACCCUAGUAGUC